rnacentral:misc_RNA from 1 species
UCUCCGUAGGUGAACCUGCGGAGGGAUCAUUAACACGUUCCAAACCAUGAUUAACCCAACUGUGAACUUCGUAUCUGCCUCGCUGUCUCACAGUGAGAGGUAGGCUGAAGCCAGGAUGAAGGUGAGAGGUUGCCGCUCGCGACAACAGCAGCAGCAGCAGCUCAUACGGCUCCAGUCUCGUUGGCCCGUGGUAACACGCUUUUGCGGUUGUCGCGACCAGCCUUGCACUGUAAGAUGAGGCCAACAACAUAUGCGGUCAGCGCUUAUCAUCGGCGUUGCUCGUCAUAUCCACACUCCCGUUCUCGUCGUGUUGCGUUGCUCUGGCAGUCGCGCACGCUUGAGAAUGAUUGACAUACUCUGUUGAUGUUGUGGGCUUGCGGUCGCCUCUGUCUAACAGAGCGACCCUAGCCUGUCUGUCUCAGCUCCUUAUGUGGAGUACUGAUGACUUUGCAUGAAUACAGCAACACAACUCUUAGCAAUGGAUAUCUUGGUUCUC